UGGGGAAUAUUGCACAAUGGGGGAAACCCUGAUGCAGCGACGCCGCGUGAACGAAGAAGGUAUUCGUAUCGUAAAGUUCUGUCCUAUGGGAAGAUAAUGACAGUACCAUAGAAGAAAGCUCCGGCUAAAUACGUGCCAGCAGCCGCGGUAAUACGUAUGGAGCGAGCGUUGUCCGGAAUUAUUGGGCGUAAAGGGUACGCAGGCGGUUUAAUAAGUCGAAUGUUAAAGAUCGGGGCUCAACCCCGUAAAGCAUUGGAAACUGAUAAACUUGAGUAGUGGGGAGGAAAGUGGAAUUCCUAGUGUAGUGGUGAAAUACGUAGAUAUUAGGAGGAAUACCAGUAGCGAAGACGACUUUCUGGGCACAAACUGACGCUGAGGUACGAAAGCGUGGGGAGCAAACAGG
rnacentral:rRNA from 1 species